GGCUUCAUGAAGGACAUUCAAAGCUCUUCUUUGGAUGUCGGCAGCCUUUUCUUCUGUUUCCUAUCAAGGUAUGUUUUUACUGCUUUGACAGUGGGUUUUGGAUCACUGUCACCGCGAAAAUGAAGCCAUUAGCAAUCAGAUGCUUUCCAGAUGGUAUUCCAUGGCAUACCAACAUCUGAUCAUUUUUCGUCCACACAAAUGCACACAGAAGAGAAGAAGAGAGAAGAAGAUGCCUUUUAGUGUCACAGUACCCCCCUGGUCAGUUUUUCUGACAGUCCCUCUCUGUCAGCGCUGCUGUUGCUACUCCAGGAUUCGGCAGGAUGGAGGCCAGUUUGCAGCUGACAGCUGCUUGCUCUGCCGUUCACCUCCAGCUGGAUGGAUUUGCACGGAUUAGACUGUAAGUUAGCUAAAUGAAGCCCUGAAGGAGAGUGAAUGAGCUUGCCCACAGCACUCAAAGGCAACCCGUAGAGUAAACUUAUCUUCCAUUCAGAGGGAAAAGACAGAUAGAGAUGCUUUCUGUUGUCACCUCUAGGGACGGGGAUAAUGCAGGAGCAGAGUAGCAAAGACACUGGGUGUGCAUGCACAAUUAAAACACUUUAGAGCAGCCAUUAAGAAAUAGAGCUUCACAUUCUCGACUGAAAUAGAUUUCUCCUGUCAGAUAAAGGAUGCAGUUGCUUCAGUUCAUUGCUGACAUCGCAGAUUUAACUGGACCAGACUUGCAGUAAAACAAACCAGCUUUUCCUCCUUUCCCAAAUUGCACAUCCUCAUCUCCUCACAUUAAACACUCCCACCGGAGAUGCAAGCGGAAGAGAUGCAGAAGAGACACAAGGAGCAAGGAGUUGACUCAACAGGCAUUUAACAAAGAGACGUCCUUGCCUUGGAGACUCGUUUUAAAGUGAUGUCAAUUUUAGGAAUUCAGACAUCCUUCAGCAUGAAGUACUAAACUGAUUUCCAGGUCACAGGCAAGAGGAUAGAGGCCAUAGAAGGCAACGAGGCACAAAUGAGUCAAAAGAGAAAAGCCCUCAUUAUCUAAGUAAACGCCCGUAGAUUCAAGAAUAGCCACAGAUCCAGGGCCAUAUACAUUCAUGUUAUAAGUGAUGAGUUUCAGUACUAUUUAUUAUACUUUAAUAUAAACAUUUU